CUCGCCGAAAUACUCACCCUCACCGAGCAGUGCAAUGCGCAACUCCUCGCCAUGAACACCCUUGCUGAUAACCUCAGCCUGUCCGCUUGCCACGAUGAAGAACUUCUGCGGGUCCUCACCUUCCUUGAUGAGAUAGUUGCCAAGUUCGACCUCUUCGGUGACAAACAGUUUGGCUAUGCGUCUCACCACACUCUCGUCGAUGCGCGAGAACACGGGAAUGCCCUUCAGGCUCUUUGCGCGGAACGAAGGCACGCCGUCGAGGUAUUCCACCUCCACGCGCUCUUCCUUUUUCAGUUCCACCUUGGUGCGGUUAACUCUAUAUGUUCCACUUUCCACCUGGGUCCAAGGCAGCAGUUUCAGGAGCAGUCUCGGAGUGAUUGAGCCCAUCUGCGGGGCGGUCUUGGUGGUGUUAGCUAAUUUGCGUGCUGUUGCGGUUGUCACGCUACGC
rnacentral:antisense_RNA from 1 species